rnacentral:rRNA from 1 species
AACCACAUACUCCACCGCUUGUGCGGGCCCCCGUCAAUUUCUUUGAGUUUCAGCCUUGCGACCGUACUCCCCAGGCGGGGUGCUUAUCGCGUUAGCUACGGCACCGAGGGAUAUACCCCCAACACCUAGCACCCAUCGUUUACAGCGUGGACUACCAGGGUAUCUAAUCCUGUUUGCUACCCACGCUUUCGCACCUCAGCGUCAGUAUCGAGCCAGGUGGUCGCCUUCGCCACUGAUGUUCCUCCAGAUCUCUACGGAUUUCACUCCUACACCUGGAAUUCCACCACCCUCUCUCGAACUCAAGCCCUGCAGUAUCAAAGGCAAUGCCACGGUUGAGCCGUGGGCUUUCACCCCUGACUUACAAAGCCGCCUACGCGCGCUUUACGCCCAGUAAUUCCGAUUAACGCUCGCACCCUCCGUAUUACCGCGGCUGCUGGCACGGAGUUAGCCGGUGCUUCCCCUGAAGGUACCGUCAAGUAGCAGACAGUUACUCCCACUACACUUCUUCCCUUCUGACAGAGGUUUACGAUCCGAAGACCUUCGUCCCUCACGCGGCGUCGCUGCGUCAGACUUUCGUCCAUUGCGCAAUAUUCCCCACUGCUGCC